ensembl:snRNA U1 U1 spliceosomal RNA
AUACUUACCUGUCAGGGGAGAUACCAUGAUCAUGAAGGUGGUUUUCCCAGGGUGAGGCUCAUUCAUUGCACGCCAGGUGUGCUGAGCCCUGCAAUUUCCCCAAAUGUGGAAAACUCAGCUGCAUGAUUUGUGGUAAUGGGGGACUGCGUUUGCACUCUCCCCUG